GAACACCUGUUUAUAAAUAUAAACAUAAUCUCUUAUUAUUUCUUCUAGAGAAAUCAAAAUUAUAUCAUGAGAGAGAGAACGUUGCAAUGGCGAUGAGAACAAGCUAUAUCUUUUCGUGUUGUUCUUCUGAAUCUGGUUGAGUUUUACUGAGUCGGUGACUAUUUACCGUCGAUUGUUAAUUUGAAGGAUGAAGAAGAUUCAGAAAAAGAAUGUCGUCGGCGUUUGAUUACAGUGAUGGUCUUUUGUUUCUAUCACCGGAUCGGAGAGGCAGCAGCAAGGCUCAAUCGUCGAUUAGGUCACAGCCGAGUAACACCUUAUCAAUGAGCAAAACCAUUCAACAGCAUAAUUUUGGCUCACUCUCUUGGCAUAAUUAGGGAUGAUGCUGUUAUGACUCAACAAUAACACCAAUCUCAUAAUCCUCUCUUUCUUGACCUCCUAUUGGAAAUUAUCGCCUACUAGAUUUGUGGACAAACACUAUCAUCAACACUACUAAUUCUCUAUUCCCUCUGGCUGUUUCUCUCAACCUAUCAACCAUUACCACUAAAGCAAACUUGUAUAGUU